rnacentral:rRNA from 1 species
GACGAACGCUGGCGGCGUGCUUAACACAUGCAAGUCGAACGAUGAAGCCGGAGCUUGCUCUGGUGAAUUAGUGGCGAACGGGUGAGUAACACGUGAGUAACCUGCCCUUGACUCUGGGAUAACUGCGGGAAACUGUAGCUAAUACCGGAUACGACCCUCGGAGGCAUCUCCUGGGGGUGGAAAGAAUUUCGGUCAAGGAUGGACUCGCGGCCUAUCAGCUAGUUGGUGAGGUAAAGGCUAACCAAGGCGACGACGGGUAGCCGGCCUGAGAGGGUGACCGGCCACACUGGGACUGAGACACGGACCAGACUCCUACGGGAGGCAGCAGUGGGAAUAUUGCACAAUGGGCGCAAGCCUGAUGCAGCAACGCCGCGUGAGGGAUGACGGCCUUCGGGUUGUAAACCUCUUUUAGCAGGGAGGAAGCGAAAGUGACGGUACCUGCAGAAAAAGCACCGGCUAACUACGUGCCAGCCGCCGCCGUAA